rnacentral:snRNA from 1 species
GCGCUUCAGCAGAACAUAUACUAACACUGGAACGACACAGAAAAGAUUAGCAUGGCCCCUGCACAAGGAUGACAUGCAAAUUCAUGAAGCAAUCCAUAUUUUU